rnacentral:rRNA from 1 species
AACGAACGCUGGCGGCGUGCUUAACACAUGCAGUCGAACGGGUUCAUAAUGAGUAGCAAUACUUGAUAUGAGUUAGUGGCGGACGGGUGAGUAACACGUAGGUAACCUACCCUUGAGCGGGGGACAACCCAGGGAAACUUGGGCUAAUACCCCAUAGGACCACGGGGUGUGAAUCUUGUGGUAAAAGUAGCGAUACGCUCAUGGACGGGCCUGCGGCCUAUCAGGUAGUUGGUGAGGUAACGGCCCCCAAGCCAAAGACGGGUAGCCGGGCUGAGAGGUUGAACGGCCACACUGGAACUGAGACACGGUCCAGACUCCUACGGGAGACAGCAGUGGGGAAUAUUGCACAAUGGGGGAAACCCUGAUGCAGCGACGCCGCGUGGAGGAUGAAGGUCUUCGGGUUGUAAACUCCUUUUAUUGGGAAAGAUGACGACGGUACCCCAAUGAAUAAGCCACGGCUAACUCUGUGCCAGCAGCCGCGGUAAGACAGAGGUGGCGAGCGUUGUUCGGAAUUACUGGGCUUAAGGGCGAGUAGGCGGUGGGACAAGUCUGAUGUGGAAUCUUAGGGCUUAACCCUAAACUGCAUUAGAAACUG